AUUGAACGCUGGCGGCAUGCCUUACACAUGCAAGUCGAACGGUAACAGGGAGCUUGCUCCGCUGACGAGUGGCGAACGGGUGAGUAAUACAUCGGAACGUGCCCAGUAAUGGGGGAUAGCUCGGCGAAAGCCGGAUUAAUACCGCAUACGCCCUGAGGGGGAAAGUGGGGGAUCGCAAGACCUCACGUUAUUGGAGCGGCCGAUGGCUGAUUAACUAGUUGGUAGGGUAAAGGCCUACCAAGGCGACGAUCAGUAGCUGGUCUGAGAGGACGAUCAGCCACACUGGGACUGAGACACGGCCCAGACUCCUACGGGAGGCAGCAGUGGGGAAUUUUGGACAAUGGGGGAAACCCUGAUCCAGCAAUGCCGCGUGUGCGAAGAAGGCCUUCGGGUUGUAAAGCACUUUUGUCAGGGAAGAAAUCCCUUGGGUUAAUACCUCGGGGGGAUGACGGUACCUGAAGAAUAAGCACCGGCUAACUACGUGCCAGCCGCCGCGGUAA
rnacentral:rRNA from 1 species